rnacentral:rRNA from 1 species
UACGUAGGGUGCAAGCGUUGUCCGGAAUUAUUGGGCGUAAAGAGCUUGUAGGCGGUUUGUCGCGUCUGCUGUGAAAUUUCGGGGCUCAACCCCGAACUUGCAGUGGGUACGGGCAGACUAGAGUGUGGUAGGGGAGACUGGAAUUCCUGGUGUAGCGGUGAAAUGCGCAGAUAUCAGGAGGAACACCGAUGGCGAAGGCAGGUCUCUGGGCCACUACUGACGUGAGAAGCGAAAGCAUGGGGAGCGAACAGGA